rnacentral:rRNA from 1 species
CCUACGGGAGGCAGCAGUGGGGAAUAUUGGACAAUGGGCGAAAGCCUGAUCCAGCCAUGCCGCGUGUGUGAAGAAGGCCUUCGGGUUGUAAAGCACUUUCAGUGGGGAAGAAAGCCUUGGGGCUAAUACCCUCGAGGAAGGACAUCACCCACAGAAGAAGCACCGGCUAACUCCGUGCCAGCAGCCGCGGUAAUACGGAGGGUGCGAGCGUUAAUCGGAAUUACUGGGCGUAAAGCGCGCGUAGGCGGUCUGAUAAGCCGGUUGUGAAAGCCCCGGGCUCAACCUGGGAACGGCAUCCGGAACUGUCCGGCUAGAGUGCAGGAGAGGAAGGUAGAAUUCCCGGUGUAGCGGUGAAAUGCGUAGAGAUCGGGAGGAAUACCAGUGGCGAAGGCGGCCUUCUGGACUGACACUGACGCUGAGGUGCGAAAGCGUGGGUAGCAAACAGGAUUAGAUACCCCGGUAGUC